GACGAACGCUGGCGGCGUGCUUAACAUAUGCAAGUCGAACGGUAAGGCUCCAGCUUGCUGGGGUACACGAGUGGCGAACGGGUGAGUAACACGUGGGUGACCUGCCCUGCACUUCGGGAUAAGCCUGGGAAACUGGGUCUAAUACCGGAUAGGACCGCACCGUGAGGGUGUGGUGGAAAGUUUUUUCGGUGUGGGAUGGGCCCGCGGCCUAUCAGCUUGUUGGUGGGGUAAUGGCCUACCAAGGCGGCGACGGGUAGCCGGCCUGAGAGGGUGGACGGCCACAUUGGGACUGAGACACGGCCCAGACUCCUACGGGAGGCAGCAGUGGGGAAUAUUGCACAAUGGGCGGAAGCCUGAUGCAGCGACGCCGCGUGGGGGAUGACGGCCUUCGGGUUGUAAACUCCUUUCACCAUCGACGAAGGGUUUCUGACGGUAGAUGGAGAAGAAGCACCGGCUAACUACGUG
rnacentral:rRNA from 1 species